rnacentral:rRNA from 1 species
AUGCCUGUACCAUAACCGACACAGGUGGGUAGGUAGAGUAUACUAAGGGGCGCGAGAUAACUCUCUCUAAGGAACUCGGCAAAAUGACUCCGUAACUUCGGGAGAAGGAGUGCCUUAUUUAUAAGGUUGCAAUAACAAGAUCCAAGCAACUGUUUAUCAAAAACACAGGUCUCCGCUAAGUCGUAAGACGAUGUAUGGGGGCUGACGCCUGCCCAGUGCCAGAAGGUUAAAGAAGUUGGUUAGUGUAUGCAAGCUGAUGACUGAAGCCCUGGUGAACGGCGGCCGUAACAAUAACGGUCCUAAGGUAGCGAAAUUCCUUGUCGGGUAAGUUCCGACCCGCACGAAAGGCGUAAUGAUUUGGAUACUGUCUCGGAGAGAGGCUCGGUGAAAUAGACUUGUCUGUGAAGAUGCGGACUACCUGCACCAGGACAGAAAGACCCUAUGAAGCUUUACUGUAACUUGAAAUUGGAAUUGGACUUUGCUUGCGCAGUAUAGGUGGGAAGCGUUGAAGAUAUUCUUGCGGGAGUAUUGGAGCUAUCAGUGAGAUACCACUCUUGUAAUGUUAGAUUUCUAACUUUGAACCAUAAUCUGGUCAAAGAACAGUUUCAGGUGGGCAGUUUGACUGGGGCGGUCGCCUCCCAAAUGGUAACGGAGGCGUACAAAGGUUUCCUCUGAACGGAUAGAAAUCGUAUCUAGAGUGUAAAGGCAUAAGGAAGCUUGACUGUGAGACCUACAAGUCGAGCAGGGACGAAAGUCGGUCUUAGUGAUCUGACGGUACUGAGUGGAAAGGCCGUCACUCAACGGAUAAAAGUUACUCUAAGGAUAACAGGCUGAUCUCCCCCAAGAGUUCACAUCGACGGGGAGGUUUGGCACCUCGAUGUCGGCUCAUCGCAUCCUGGGGCGGUAGUACGUCCCAAGGGUUGGGCUGUUCGCCCAUGAAAGCGGUACGCGAGCUGGGUUCAGAACGUCGUGAGACAGUUCGGUCCAUAUCCGGUGUAGGCGUUAGAAUAUUGAGAGGAGCCUUCUUUAGUACGAGAGGACCGAGAAGGACACACCGCUGGUGUACCAGUUAUCGUGCCAACGGUAAACGCUGGGUAGCUAUGUGUGGAGUGGAUAACCGCUGAAAGCAUCUAAGUGGGAAGCCCACCUCAAGAUGAGUAUUCUGGUGUAAGGUCACGGGAAGACGACCCGUAAAUAGGCACGAGGUGGAAGUGCAGAGAUGUAUGAAGCCGAAGUGUACUAAUAGACC